AGUGGCCAGGGGCAGAAUGUUAUAGUUUAAAUGUUUGUCCCUCCCAUUUAUAUGUUAAAGCCUUAACCUCCAGUGAGAUGGUAUUUGGAGAUGGGGUGGUUGGAAGGCAGUUAAGAUUAGAUAAAAUCAUGAGGGUGGGGCCUUCAUGAUGGGAUUAGUGCCCUUAUAAAGAGAAAGGGAGAGGAGAGGGAGAGAACAACAGACAGUGAAUCUCUCUCUGUGCAAGCACAGAGGAAAGGCCAUAUGAAGAUGCAGCGGAGGCAGCUGUCUGCAACCCACAGAGAGAGAACUAUCCUCAGACAGUGACCCUGCUGGCACCUUGAUCCUGGCUUUCCAGCCUCCAGAACUGUGAGAAAGUUAAGCCAUCCAGUCUUAUUUGGUUACGGCAGCCUGGCCUGCCUAAGACACUCAGUGAGUCUCAGUGGAAAAGAAAAAGGCCAAAAAUAAGGUGGGAACAUACUGAAGACAGACCUGCUCUAUUGUGUUUGUUCCAGGCUGGUUGCACCUUGGAGCAGGAGAUCUUAGAUUCAGGCACCUGGGUGAGCUUUUCAAAACAGCAGUCCUUACCAGCCUUGUUCUCAUCAUAAGUUCGCCAGGCUUGGGGAGGCAUGCCCCAGAAGAGAGCCCAGUACAGGCUGUUAAACAAGUGCUCCUUGCUGCAGCCAAACUGAACUGCUUGCUUGCAUGCCCAGAGCACUGGGAACCUCGAAGAGUCCAUGCUUUGCAUAUGCAUAUCCUUGGCCUAGCCAUUCCUCUUGCCUUCUUUGUUUGGUGCAAAUCCUCCAACCUCCAAACACCCCAUGAUAUUUUAUGAGCUAUGAGAAACCUUAGAUAUCACAUCACACUGGCCUGCAAUUAAAUGUUAGAAACAACUCUUGGGAGAAUCCAA